UUUUACAUCAUUCAUGAGAUAGGGCAAACUGUAAGAAAUGUUGAGGUAAAAUGGACAGUGUAGUUUUAGGCAAGCAAAUUAGGUUUCCUUUUCAAAGGUUCUAAAUCUGUCAUAAUGGAAACAUGAAGCAAUAGCAGCCUAAGGGACAAAACUUAGAAGCACAGGAAACAAGACUCAUUCAGUUUGCCUUUCCCAACUAUGUCAGGUCAGGUGAGCUUUGGAAUAUUAAAUCUGUCACAUUAUUCCAGGGCUCAGCCUAGGCAAUUUUGGGACUUUCUCUACCAAAAGAAGAAAUCCUAUCACCCCAGUUACUCACAUAAGACAAAGUGUUGCCAGUCUUAUCCAACUCUAAUCUCCCCUAUUUCUGGACC